rnacentral:rRNA from 1 species
GAUGAACGCUGACAGAAUGCUUAACACAUGCAAGUCUACUUGAACUUCGGUUUGGGUGGCGGACGGGUGAGUAACGCGUAAAGAACUUGCCUCACAGUUAGGGACAACAUUUGGAAACGAAUGCUAAUACCUGAUAUUAUGAUUUUAGGGCAUCCUAGGAUUAUGAAAGCUAUAUGUGCUGUGAGAGAGCUUUGCGUCCCAUUAGCUAGUUGGAGAGGUAACGGCUCACCAAGGCGAUGAUGGGUAGCCGGCCUGAGAGGGUGAACGGCCACAAGGGUACUGAGACGCGGCCCUUACUCCUACGGGAGGCAGCAGUGGGGAAUAUUGGACAACGGACCAAAAUUCUUAUCCAGCAUUUCUGUGUGCACGAUGACGUUUUUCGGAAUGUAAAGUUCUUUCAGUUGGGAAGAAAAAAAUGACGUUACCAACAGAAGAAGUUACGGCUAAAUACGUG